UACGUAGGGGGCGAGCGUUGCCCGGAUUUAUUGGGCGUAAAGAGCUCGUAGGCGGUUUGGCAAGUCGGGUGUGAAAACUCCGGGCUCAACUCGGAGACGCCACUCGAUACUGCCAUGACUCGAGUCCGGUAGGGGAGUGCGGAAUUCCUGGUGUAGCGGUGAAAUGCGCAGAUAUCAGGAGGAACACCGGUGGCGAAGGCGGCACUCUGGGCCGGUACUGACGCUGAGGAGCGAAAGCGUGGGGAGCGAACAGG
rnacentral:rRNA from 1 species